CCAUGGGUCCAGGACGUUUUCCUGGAUGACUCUGCUCCACCACAGCUGUUUCUCCACUCCCCUCACAAUGCACAGGUGAUGCAUGUCCUCUUAAUUUUGCUAUAAAGAAAAAAAUGCCUUCAGACUCCAGACCUCUCUCUAUAUGUUAGCUGUAGAUGUUCAUAUCAUUUGGCAGCCGAUUUCAGUAUAAUCCCUGGCAGUGAUAUAGAGCCCACAUCGUGUUUGUACGACAAGUUUCCCCCUAGGUUUCAAUUAGGGCCAGACAUACAAAAGAAAACCCAGAGACAAUUGGGAGUUCAAAUACAGAUGUGUUUAGAAUUGUUAAGAAUAUGUCUAAAGUACCAGCACUCGUCCAUAAUGGAUCUUCCAGUAAUGAAAAUUAAACGAACCCCAGUUCUCAACCAGCUGCAACUUCUCGUAAGGAAAAGGAGUCUUCACUAUUUGGCUGCAAAACAAAGACAUCACCUAAUUUUAGAGAUUGCUCUGUGAUUAAUAAGAUACAAAAUUGUGGCGAUAGAGGACAUGUUAAUGUGUACUAUUACUAAUCAUCUAUGACGGUCUAAUAAUGUGAUUGGCUAUGUAAAAAUAUGUCGAAGAUAAAUACACAACGCAGAGGACGAGAGGACUAGAAUUAACGAUCAAUGGAAAUAGUUGUUUUUCAGUUCAACAUCUGUUUAGAAUAUGUUAGAAUAUGUUAGGAAUGUCAGUCCUGAACUCAUAGCUAUGUGUGCUAUGUUUUCAUUGGUCUGAAUCUGGAGCAGGAUACUUGUUAUUUGGCCAUUGGUCCAGUUGUACUGCAAGGACUUCUAAUUGGUCAGCCUCAGGCUAGGGUGGGGGGUUAUAAAUGACAUCCUGUUUCUUUGUUCUGUGGAGAGAAUCACUGAAGAGAAUCACUGGGGAGAAUCACUGAGGACAGGGGAGCAUGAACAUCUACCAUCUACCUCCCCACAUGAUUCGUCCUCUUUGAAUAAGAAUAAACCUGUUUUCCUCCCCUUUAUUUGCUUUGGGGUCUGUGUUAUUGAAGACUAACAUCAACUGCUAACAGCUACCUGUGAAUGGCAAUCUGAAGGUGCUGACAGUUCGUCAAGCACUAGCCUCCCAGCUUCAGUAAGGUGAAGGGUAGGCUCCUCCAUAACCAAUUUGGAAGUCUGUGGAAAGAAAACUAAGUAAAUUCUCCCUAUAACAGAUGAGCUUUGGUUAAUAAUGUGUUUGGUUACCUG
rnacentral:lncRNA from 1 species